GUAACAGGAAGCAGCUUGCUGCUUCGCUGACGAGUGGCGGACGGGUGAGUAAUGUCUGGGAAACUGCCUGAUGGAGGGGGAUAACUACUGGAAACGGUGGCUAAUACCGCAUAACGUCGCAAGACCAAAGAGGGGGACCUUCGGGCCUCUUGCCAUCAGAUGUGCCCAGAUGGGAUUAGCUUGUUGGUGAGGUAACGGCUCACCAAGGCGACGAUCCCUAGCUGGUCUGAGAGGAUGACCAGCCACACUGGAACUGAGACACGGUCCAGACUCCUACGGGAGGCAGCAGUGGGGAAUAUUGCACAAUGGGCGCAAGCCUGAUGCAGCCAUGCCGCGUGUAUGAAGAAGGCCUUCGGGUUGUAAAGUACUUUCAGCGGGGAGGAAGGUGUUGUGGUUAAUAACCGCAGCAAUUGACGUUACCCGCAGAAGAAGCACCGGCUAACUCCGUGCCAGCAGCCGCGGUAAUACGGAGGGUGCAAGCGUUAAUCGGAAUUACUGGGCGUAAAGCGCACGCAGGCGGUCUGUCAAGUCGGAUGUGAAAUCCCCGGGCUCAACCUGGGAACUGCAUUCGAAACUGGCAGGCUUGAGUCUUGUAGAGGGGGGUAGAAUUCCAGGUGUAGCGGUGAAAUGCGUAGAGAUCUGGAGGAAUACCGGUGGCGAAGGCGGCCCCCUGGACAAAGACUGACGCUCAGGUGCGAAAGCGUGGGGAGCAAACAGGAUUAGAUACCCUGGUAGUCCACGCCGUAAACGAUGUCUACUUGGAGGUUGUGCCCUUGAGGCGUGGCUUCCGGAGCUAACGCGUUAAGUAGACCGCCUGGGGAGUACGGCCGCAAGGUUAAAACUCAAAUGAAUUGACGGGGGCCCGCACAAGCGGUGGAGCAUGUGGUUUAAUUCGAUGCAACGCGAAGAACCUUACCUGGUCUUGACAUCCACAGAAGAAUCCAGAGAUGGAUUUGUGCCUUCGGGAACUGUGAGACAGGUGCUGCAUGGCUGUCGUCAGCUCGUGUUGUGAAAUGUUGGGUUAAGUCCCGCAACGAGCGCAACCCUUAUCCUUUGUUGCCAGCGGUUAGGCCGGGAACUCAAAGGAGACUGCCAGUGAUAAACUGGAGGAAGGUGGGGAUGACGUCAAGUCAUCAUGGCCCUUACGACCAGGGCUACACACGUGCUACAAUGGCGCAUACAAAGAGAAGCGACCUCGCGAGAGCAAGCGGACCUCAUAAAGUGCGUCGUAGUCCGGAUUGGAGUCUGCAACUCGACUCCAUGAAGUCGGAAUCGCUAGUAAUCGUGGAUCAGAAUGCCACGGUGAAUACGUUCCCGGGCCUUGUACACACCGCCCGUCACACCAUGGGAGUGGGUUGCAAAAGAAGUAGGUAGCUUAACCUUCGGGAGGGCGCUUACCACUUUGUGAUUCAUGACUGGGGUGAAGUCGUAACAAGGUAACCGUAGGGGAACCUGCGGUUGGAUCACCUCCUUACCUUAAAGAA
rnacentral:rRNA from 3 species